GAAGGUUACUUUUAAAAUGUAUCCAGUUACAGAAUACAUGCCCAAAAAUGUAAUAUGUAACGUAUUCCGUUAUAUCACGCAAUCUGAGUAUUCUAUUCUGAAUACUCGGAUUACUUCCACAUUGAAUUGCAUUUUAUAAGUAUAGAAAUGCGGCAUCAAAUCCUGCUUACUAAACAAGUCUAUUCUGGUGUAUUCUUCUUCUGCGUUAGGCCCAAGUCUCCCUGAAAGUGAACUAUUUUAUAUAAUUUGCUGUAGUGGAACAAAGACUAUAAGGGUAUGUUCAUGCGAAAGAUAUUCGCUAUUACAUCUAAAAAGAAAUUCACUGAGCUAAAUGCAUAGCGGGUGCCUGUUACGUCCAAAGAGGCAUAUGCUUUGUAGAACUGGAUCGGACCGAGGUGCGUUCGCUUUCACAUCACAAGCGAACCGUGCCAGGGUUCGUUUGGAAGCGAACCGA